GCUUCCCUUUUGCUCUGUGUUUCCUUGAGUGUUGGGGAGCAGCCUGGCGGUUUUGGUUUCUCUUUCACAAAUUACAUCCGGCAAGCGCCUGGAGGCGGUAGAGGAGGCCUGUCCACUCCCCCAGUGAGGGCCUCUCGCUCUCCGAGGACCCCGCCUUCCGGCAGGCCGUGAGGGGCGUCGGGAGAGCCGGGAGUUCUGGCCCUAUCAUGCACCUGCCGUGUGACUGGCCGAACCUCUUACGUUGCCCAGGCAGUUUCCUUGUACGCGGAAGUGGCAAGAACCUCCCCUCCGCUGGUGGGAAUUCUGUGGAAUCGUCGUUAAGAGUACUUGCUCUGAGUGCAAGCAGCUGCCAUGUCUUGAAACUGCUCAGGCAGCCUGCUGGCAACCACUUGAGUGAGCCUGGACAUGGAUCCUCCCCCAGUCAAACCUUGAGAUGACCGCAAACUUGCACUAUGCUCUUUUCACAUACUAGAAAGCAUUGAGACAGCAAACCAAAACCACAAGUCAUGCAUGCAGCAGAAGCAUGUUCAGAGGAGACAAUUUGACCUCCAGAUGUACCCAGAACCAAAGGACUGGGACAUGAAUGGAACUUGAACACUGGAACCCUUUUAGAAGCAAAGGGUUAGUUGGUUGUCCUAGGAUUUGGUGAUGAAGCCCCUUAUCAUAUCUUACCAUAAAUGGCCAAGGUCCAAAGCUCUUCAAUCAAAACCUGCCCCACAGCACUUCUAUAUACCUGCCUGUUCCCUGUUCCCCCAACCUCUUAAAACUUGCCCUGGACAAGAAGACAGAUUUGAGCCUUGUUUGCUGGCUGACUUUGCAA